UCUCCAUCUGGUGAAAAGCUCAGAGCUGAUAUUACUGUAGUCACUGACAUUUCGGGUGCUCGUAAAAGCAAACUUGGAAGUCCAGGAGGUCCACUUGCAUCCAAAACUUUGAUUUUUGUCGCACUACAUAGAGAAACAAAACCUACUUCAUUUCUAGUAGAACAAAUAUGAAAACUACCGGGGCUUCAAAAACAUGUAGCAAUGAAGAAACUGGAAAGAUAGCAAUACAAUAACAGUUAACCAACAAAACAAAAAAUGAAGUACAGAAUAUUAUUGUCACAUAAUCUCCUGAAAAGAAUCACGAAUAACAAGAUAUCAUUGCCACGUAACCUCUGGGAUGCUACAGAUAGAAUUCCUCACUAAUAAUUUUCCAUUUAGAAGGAGAAAUAAACAGAUGUUUUAGGAUCCCCUUCUUGCCUAUAAUGAAAGAUAAAAUCCCCCAAAAGCACCAUUAGAUUCUGAUACAUGAGAAAAAGUGGGGGAGAUGUUUAUGUAUUAAACUUUGUUAUUCGAUGUGAACUAACAGGAAUUUCCCAAUGAAUAAAUCAGGGUAACUCAAAAACCAUUACUCUUUGUUUUACCAGAGGGAAAUUCAGGGCACGGGUUUUGGAUUAAUUCAGUUUUAAAUUAGAAGAUACCUGAAACUUAACUGGACAAGCUAACAGAAAGAAAAUCAGACUGUAUUGACUAUUGAGAAAAGCAAUAAGAUUUCAUGAUAUGAGUAAUGCAAAACCGACAUUCACUCUACCAAUCAUCAUGGAUACAUAUUUAGAUAAGGGAUAUCCGGUCAUCAGUGCUCUGUUACUGCUAGCAACAAUCUAGAUAGAGAUAUCCAGCAACAACCUUAAUAUUCAGCUAAUUAUUAUAGAAAUAAAUGACCAUCCCAUUUUCACAUUAAGCUUCACUCCAAUGCAAGUUUCUUCUUACAAGUCACAAUAAACUAGGUAGAAUGAAACCCUGUUGUAGAGGAUUUAUUCAUAUUUCAUGUCAAAUGGAUGAAAGUUACCAUAUAAUAAUUUUUUACCUUAAUUACAGCCUUCUUAAUUCAAAAUCUAUUUUUGAUCUUGUUACCUUUGCAUGUCAUAUACCCGAAUGCUA
rnacentral:lncRNA from 1 species